rfam:Dictyocaulus viviparus strain HannoverDv2000 D_viviparus-1.0_Cont86.24, whole genome shotgun sequence.
GAUCCUGUGGUGUAGUUGUCAUCACAUCUGUCUUACACACAGUAGGUCGGCGGUUCGAGUCCGCCCGUGAUCA